rnacentral:rRNA from 1 species
UCAGAACGAACGCUGGCGGCGUGCCUAACACAUGCAAGUCGAACGUGAUUAGAGAGCUUGCUCUCUAUGAAAGUGGCGCACGGGUGAGUAACGCGUAGAUAAUCUGCCUGAUGAUCGGGGAUAACACUUCGAAAGGGGUGCUAAUACCGGAUAAGCUCACGGAGUCCUUGGACUCUGCGAGAAAAGGGGGGGACCUUCGGGCCUUCUGUCAUCAGAUGAGUCUGCGUACCAUUAGCUAGUUGGUAGGGUAAAGGCCUACCAAGGCGACGAUGGUUAGCUGGUCUGAGAGGAUGAUCAGCCACACUGGAACUGAGACACGGUCCAGACUCCUACGGGAGGCAGCAGUGGGGAAUUUUGCGCAAUGGGGGAAACCCUGACGCAGCAACGCCGCGUGAGUGAUGAAGGCUCUUGGGUCGUAAAGCUCUGACAGAGGGAAAGAAAUGUAUUGCGGCUAAUACCUGCGAUACUUGACGGUACCCUCAAAGGAAGCACCGGCUAACUCCGUGCCAGCAGCCGCGGUAAUACGGGGGGUGCAAGCGUUGUUCGGAUUUAUUGGGCGUAAAGCGCGUGUAGGCGGUUUGGUAAGUCUGAUGUGAAAGCCCUGGGCUCAACCCGGGAAGUGCAAUGGAUACUGUCAGACUUGAAUACGGGAGAGGGCAGUGGAAUUCCUAGUGUAGGAGUGAAAUCCGUAGAUAUUAGGAGGAACACCGGUGGCGAAGGCGGCUGCCUGGACCGAUAUUGACGCUGAGACGCGAAAGCGUGGGUAGCAAACAGGAUUAGAUACCCUGGUAGUCCACGCCGUAAACGAUGAGAACUAGGUGUUGCGGGUAUUGACCCCUGCAGUGCCGUAGCUAACGCAUUAAGUUCUCCGCCUGGGAAGUACGGUCGCAAGACUAAACUUAAAU